UUUAUUCAUAUGGUGAACUACAUUGGCAGAUUUUCAUAAGAUGAACCAUCUCUGCAUCUCUGGGAUGAAGCAUCUUGGUGAUGGUGGAUGGUCUUUCUGAUGUGUUCUCAGAUUUAUUUUGGAUUACAGGUCCAUUUAACUGGUUUAUUUGAUCCUGAUUUAACUUUGCUGCUGGAUGAAGGAUCUACGAUGGAAUUUAAGGAAUCAAAUAUCAAAGUAAGAAAAUGCCAAAGAGCAAACUAUUUGCCUCCACAGGCACUCAGAUGACAUCAAGUGCUGCUUCCUGAAGGCAUCAGAGGAGUGCAGGGGACUGAACUCAGAGAAAUGACUAAACUUCCUUUCCAGGCCUGGGGCAGAUGUGUUUAAGAAAUAGCUAUUAGAAUGUAUAUGCAGCAAUGGGCAUGGAUAGCUUUAAAUACUUUUUACAAAGUGGGAAGAGGCAGGGCAGGGGGGAACUAGAAGAACUAUGAGUAGUGAGAGGAGGCUGGUUUGAGUUCCUGUCACUAUUUGACAAGGCCUUUAUUCAAUGUCUUUAUAACUGCCAUUAUUUUAACUACCCAUCUGUAAAGGAAGGCUGGAGACAUGAAAAUGCCAACUCCAGGUCUUUGACUUUGAAAACACCUGUCCUUUUAAAGGUUGUGUUUAAUGUGUGUUGUGAGUCAACCAGGAAACUCAGACUCUGUCUAUCAUGACCUCCUGCCAGGUCAAUGGUCCAUUUCCUAGCACCCUGGCUCCUUUAUACACGAUGGGGAUUGUACUAAACUUGGUGCCAUAAUCCAAGGGUGUCAUGCUUCUGGGAUUUGUUCAUAUUAAACCCUCAUCUUGGAAUGAUCACGUUGUGUUUUCAUCUAAGAAACACCUGUUUGUCGUUUUAUCUCUUCCCUCUUUCCUCCUCAACUUUCUCCCUUUCUCCUUUCUUUCCUCUCAUUUUUUGUUUCAUUCUUUCUGUUCACAAAGAGUGGUUUUCCUUAUGAUACUGCUGUGUUGAAAGUUGGACAGUAUUGAAAAGUGGAUAGAAUAUAAACAUCACUGAUCGUGGAGGCUUUGUAGAUAAGUCUACACUUUGUAGAUAACUACACUUCCCCAGAGUUCUUUCCCCGUGGGGCUCCAGAACAGCCUAGGCAAGAAUAUCUAUUUAUUUAUUUAAAUUAAAAUUUUAAAAAGGUGUGUGUGUGUGUGUGUCUGCUUGUCUGUCUGUGUGCCAUGCGCAUGAAGGUAUUAGAGGAUGCCAGAAGAAGGUGCUCAGUUCCCUGGAACUGGAGUUAGAGGUAGUUGUAAGCUGCCUGAUGUGAGUGCUGAGAAGAGACCAUUGUUCCUCUGCAGAGCAGCAAGAACUUUUAACUGCUGAGCCACCUCCCCAGCCCCCAAAACAGCUAUCUAAUGUGAUAUUUAGAAGAAAGUGGAGCCAAGGCUGUUGUGCUGUUUUGAAAAAAAGGGAACAUGUCUCAGGUCCUGUGGUGGUUUACAUACACAGUUACCUAUCUAUUGGAUCAAACCCUGCCACACCUAUAACCACUGAGUAUCUUCUCCUUGAUAUGACUGAGAGUUAACUCUAAGGACUCAUGAUGGUGACUUGAUUCUCAGUAUAUGGAUGGUAAGAUAUCACUGAGCCAAGUGUGAGCUGCUUAUGUUAUCAGAGAUAUUACUCUUGGAAGGGAAUUCUCAGAGGACCCUGAGUGGUCCCCAAAAGAGACGGGUCUUUCUAGCUCUUCAACUCCCUGCCUUUCUAUGUGAUUUUUGCUUUGUCACCUGUGCUCUGGUCAUGAAGCCUUCACUGUGUAGUGAUGCAGUGACAAGAUUUUAGGUGAGCUGAGCAGAGGUGGAUGUCAUAUUGAACCUCCAAAGCUUUGAGCUAAGUAAACCUUUAUUUAAUAAAGUACUGGCCUUAGGGAUUUUAUUAUAGCAGAGGAAAAUGGAUUGGUGUAUCCUUUUAUUUUGUUCUUUUUGUGUGUAAAAUGUGAACCAAAAGAAUCUUAUCUUUUUAAUUUUUACAUUAAUUUAUUUGUGUCUAUAUAUGUGUGCUCCUAGGGAGAUCGGAGGACUAUUUGUUAGAGUCAAUUCUCUCCUUUCACCAUGUGGGUUCUUAACAUUGAACUGAGGUUGUCAAGCUUGGUGGUAAGUGCCUUUACCAGCUGAGUCAUCUUGCCAGUUUUUUGUUUGUUUUCCAUUUUAAUUUAAUCAUAUUAUGAAUGUAAUCCCAGAUCAACACAAAUUCUUCAAAUAUAUGUUUGUAUCAUAUGCCAUUAUAUUGACUGGUAUCUAAUAUUUAUGAAAUUAUUAAAUUAUAUGGCAUCUUACUAGUAUUUGCUAAUAUUACUCUAAAACGGGCAAUUUAGCUUUUUAGUGAUCUUGAACUUUUUAAAUUGCUUCUCAGAAAUGCUUCACUAGUGUACAUUUAUUUCAAACCACUUGUCUGUGACUGUUUUUGCCUUAUCUGAACCUGCACUACAUAUUUUCAGUAAUAAAAUGAAAUAAUAUUUCUUCACCA